GACGAACGCUGGCGGCGUGCUUAACACAUGCAAGUCGAACGGAAAGGCCCUGCGUUUGUGGGGUGCUCGAGUGGCGAACGGGUGAGUAACACGUGAGUAACCUGCCCUUGACUUUGGGAUAACAUCAGGAAAAUGGGGCUAAUAUCGGAGAGGAGAUCCUGCUGCAUGGUGGGGGUUGGAAAGUGUCGGCGGUGGGGGAUGGCCUCGCAGCUUAUGAGCUGGUUGGUCGGGUAGUGGCGUACCAAGGCUUUGACGGGUAGCCGGCCUUGGAGGGUGACCGGCCACCUUGGGACUAAGAUACGGACCAGUCUCCAACCGUCGGCAACGGUCGGAAGUCUUACGCAGUGACCCCAAGCCUGUUGCAGCAGCCCCGCGUGCGGAAUGCCGUCCUUCGGGUUGUGAACCGCUUUCGCCCGUGACGCAGCGUUAUUGACGGUAAUGAGUAAAGAAGCACCGGCUAACUACGUG
rnacentral:rRNA from 1 species